rnacentral:rRNA from 1 species
GAUGAACGCUGGCGGCGUGCCUAAUACAUGCAAGUCGAACGCUAAAGCAAGGAGCUUGCUCUUUCCGGAUGAGUUGCGAACGGGUGAGUAACGCGUAGGUAACCUGCUUGGUUGCGGGGGAUAACUAUUGGAAACGAUAUCUAAUACCGCAUAACACUAGCUGUUGCAUGAUGCCUACUUAAAACGUGCAUUUGCACCACUACCAGAUGGACCUGCGUUGUAUUAGCUAGUUGGUGAGGUAACGGCCCACCCAGGCGGCGAUACAUAGCCGAGCUGGGUGGGGGGAAGGGCAACCCGGGAGUGGGACCACGCCCCAGCCCCCUCGGGAGGGAGCAGGAGGGGAAUUUUGGAAAAUGGGGGAAGGCUGACCGAAGCAAGCCGCGGUGGGUGAAGAGGGUCUCGGGUCGGAAAGGUCGGUUUUUAGGGAAGAAAGAGCGUCAGGUUGGAAAGUCCACGCUGUGACGGUAUCUUAACAGAAAGCGACGGCUAACUACGUG